UGUCUGCACCCGGGAUCCGAACCAGUGAAUCCCGGGGCUGCCAAAGCAGAACAUCUGAACUUAACGGCUGCACCAUCGGGCUAGCCCCAGGAAACAUUCUCUUAAAUAAACCUUUCAAAGCAGUUUCCCAAGGACGAGCAAUAGUAACCAAGUGUCUCUCAACGCCUGGAUUCUGACAUCCAUCAGAAAUAAUCUUUGCCAAACUCCUCAAAUACUCUUGACAAACCCCCGCCUCUAUGAAACACAAAACCAACCCCCUAGAACUCAGCCCCUGAGAAGGCAGGAGGUGGGAAGAGUUACCUGAGACGCCUCCCUGGGGCUGCAAAACCUGGCACAAAAGCACUUUGAAAACUAACAGAUCGUACACAUGGGUAUCAACAGUGGUACCAAGGCCCUAGAGGGUCUCAUGUUUCUUCACAUUUUACAAACACCAGUUUAAGGUGGUGAUUAAUGAGGUAACAAUCAAAUCACAAAGAGCUUUGAAAACCAAGUUAAGGUGUUUAGACUUCAUCCCGAAGGUAGCUGGGAGACACUGAAGAGCAGUUGUGGGGAUGGCACAGGAGGCUGACCAGGGAAACUAAGGAAGACUGUCACUAGUACCCAGUGCCUAGGUGACAGAGAGACUCGAGUAUUUAAAAUCAGACUUGGGGGAUUCUCUCCAGCAGUGUCAGGAACCUGGACAGACACUGCACACAUAUAGGGCUGUGAUUUUUUUUCCACAGAGGGUGUGAAGAGGGAAAUGGGACAACAGAGCUGAUGGUAAUAGCAACAGAGGAGAUGAAGAACGAGUCAUGCAUUAUAGAUGAAAGACAAGACAGUCAAAAGAUGGGAAGCAAACAGAAAACCACAAUUCCAAUGGGCUGACGGCCCCAAGAGGAACGGAGGGGGCAGACGGGACAAAAAGGAGGAGCUGGGACAGUGAAAACUGAAUUCUGAGGAUGGCAAGAUCCAAGGUGUGCGACCCUCGGUGGCUGAAGAGGAAUGCGUGGAGUCUAAAAUAUUGGCUCCUGUGGGCUUUACAGCUGAGUCAUUGUUCGAAUCUUCUGAAGCCUUCCCCAGGAGUACAAAAGCACCCAGAGUCUGAUGGUGGCAGCAGCAAUGGCAGCAAGAGCUUGGCACCAGAUGCUUGGAUUGCAAGAAACUGAGCUUGAGCUGAUCAACACAAGCAGGAGGCAGAAGAAUGGGAGAGACCAUGUCUGAACUCCGCAGUUCAAAAAUACCCAGGAUUAACACAGUGGCUCAGCAUUCAUCAUUCAUUCAAUAAAUUCUUAUUAAAAAGCCACUGAGCCAGGCACUGUGCUAUAUGUUGGGAAUACAGUAGUGGUGAACUGGACAGUUGAGGUGGAUUUGCAGGAGACCUGGUUGGGCCCAGGAAGUCCAUGUUACACAGAGGAGGAACCCAACCCUAUUUUUGAAUGUUGCCUCAGAAAGGCUGUUUGGAAGUACAGCAAUGGCAGAAGCAAAAUGCUGACAAUUCCCUUCUCAUCUCAGGCUGAUCUAGCCUGCAGACCAAGGGGAACCUGUGAGUGACACAGCACAGGGAACAUACCAUCCACUGGUUAGCAGUUAGGGCAGAAACCAGAGAGGGUGAACAGGUUAAUCCCCAAGGGACUCCUAAAGGAGACAGGGAGGAAACAGGACAUGUCCUCUGGCAUCCUUAGACUGAGCAUCUGGUCUGCCCACAGGGCUUCUGUAUAAGACAUUCAUUAGGAGGCCUUGUUUCCAGGUCCCCCAAAGUAGAUCCUCAGUCACCCCACUUCCUGCUGAGUAAUGCUGCAUGCAAGAGCCACCGGGGAGAAGGCAGGAAGACAAAUCCAAUGGGUGGCGCAGUUACGAGCUGAGACUCAGGAUGGAGAAGUCAGAACUGUUCGUGUGCGCCCUGGCCUUGUGGGACCUCAGCAAGGGAACACAUCACUUACGGCCGAACAGCCGGGAGUCCUAGACAGAGAUACCUUCACUUUUAAGUGUUCUUGCCCAAAACAUUAGAGUUCUGCUCACAGAAAGGUGUAAUAGAAAGCAUAAGAGGUUUGGAAGCAAAGAGACCCGGGCUGGGAUUCUGGUAGUUGUGUCACUUUUGGCACUUUACAACCUCUGUGAGCCUAUUUCCUCAUCUUUAAGAUAGGAACAAUAAUAGUACCCAUUUCACAGGACCAUGCAAGCAUUAAAAUCACGUGAUGUACUUAGCAUAGGAAGUAGUCGAUAAAUGGUGGUUAUUAGUCACUCUAUCCCCCAUCCUAGCAUAUUGAGGAUAGCUUUCAUAGCCCUGCUCUUCCAUUAGAGGAUUUAAGACACUGCAAGCAGGACAAAGGUAGACCUGGACACGUGCCACUGGGGUCUCAGAGAAAAACCAACUUCUAUCACUCAACUUGCCCUGAAACGUUUCCUUCCCAGCAAGAAGUGAGGCCUCAGAGUAGGCACAGUGUAGAAGGGAGGGACCCCAUAAACUGCCACAUCCAAACCAAUGUUGGCCUUGGCAGGUACAACUCUCAAAAACAGACUUGACCCCCAGGCUUCCUGCAGGCCUCUGAGUCCAAUGAAAUCCACACGGCAGAAGGAUUCCAGCCCCUGGAGAAGUGUCCCCAUGUACCAGUCUCAUGCUCAGAACCUAAUGAAAGGCUGUCCCAGUGCAAAAAAUCCUUCGGGGAGAAAAUGGAAGCCCCUAUCUCAGCAACUAUCAUGCUGCAUUUGGUGUACUUUCUCAUGUUUUCCCUUGGUAGUCACCGGGAAUUUUAAGGGCAACAAGUUUAUUCAUUAAUGUACCUCUAGUGCCUAACAUAGUGCCUGGCACACAGCCAGUGCUCAAUGUUUGUUGAAUGAAUUUAGCCAAGAUCCCUGCUAUCUCCAACCUUGCCCCCGACACUGCUGACCACUUAAGAGAGGUAGAAGAUGUUGAGAUGUGAGACACAGCUGCCUGGGGCAAUAUCCCACCAAACAGAGCCCAAGGAAUAAGCUUGUACUCUGUGCUGCACACAGAGACAGCAGGGUACCAGGCUGUCUGCAAGGAUAACUCCCAGGCUGUCCAGAGCACUGAAAUACCUCCUCCUUCCCUGAAGAAACUGAGCUAGCUGGUCUUCAGACGGGAAGGCAGUGUAGGCACUGGAAUGUGGGCUGCAUGUUCCUGCAUUGCUGGCAAGUGUGCACGAUCUGGCACUGCAGCUGGCUGGUGGGAGGGCUGCAUCCUACUCCAGGAGGUGGUACCCUCAUGUGGGCUUUCCAAGAAGACCCAGAGCUCAGGGAAAGAAGAGAAAUGGCUGUCACCACAGCUCCAAAAUCCAAGGACAACAUGGAGUUUGGGGAUGGGUGUGUCCUCAACCCUUGGAAAGGAAGACAUACCCACACUAACUCUGCCCAUAUAGCCAGAUCACAACACUGGGGCAACCCUCUGUUCCCUAUAAACGCUAGGGCCACAGACUCCAGCCCUCCCUGAUCCACAAAAUCAUAUAAUUUUUAUCACUAACGUGCUUGAGAUGGAAGAUGGAGAAGUAAAUCCAUGCCCACUUCAGAGACAAACAGCUCUAAGCACAGGCCUUUCAGCUGGUGGGGAAGCUUGGGAAAUUAUGGCUGAACCAAAUCUAUUUUUUACAGCCUAAUUUCACAGUAACUUUCAGGCCAAGCACUCUAAGCCCUGAGUUGGGCCAUCCUGCAUUUCUACAUGCUGUAAUACAUUUCAAAAGGACCUUGUAGCUAACAGAAACCAGAGUCAAAGAAGGGCUACGACCCAACCUGAGACCAGUGAAAGAGUGUGCCUUGGUCAAACACCGAUCACCACAGACAGGUGCCCUCUCCUGCUUGAGCUGUCUUUUGCUCAGAUACACUGGGAAUGAGGACAAGGUCAGCUUCACAGGCCACCCAGGUUGGCUUCAGAGUAGCACAUAAAGGAAACUACCAUGGCCUCCAAGCCCAGAUCUCCAGGCACAGGACACCGAACAGUGACACAAUACUGCCCUGCCCAGGGGACAGGGCAGUUACCAACCGUUCUGGAAAAACCUGAGUCAGCUGAAGGCCAGGACUUCAAGAAAUUCUACCUUACUCCAAAGGUUGUUGCUUAAAGGCAAAGCUCUUCCCCACCCAUGGCCAAACCAAAAAUUCCAAAACCCUACCCCCCAAUGAAAUGAGAUUUUACCAAAACAACGGGGCAUUAAAAUGCCAACAGACACUAGGGUCCCAGGCUCUGCAAAGCAUUCUAAAAAAACAACUUGUGCCAAAUAGGGUGGAGGCCAGAGAAAUCAACAAGGCAGUACCUCGCUGCCAUGACUGCCAGGUUCUGGAGCGGGGGAGCCAAGGGAAGGACGGCAGGCUCAGUGAGUCCCUCUGUCAGCACCAACAGCAAAUGGCUGAGCCCCCACUACCUUCCCCUCUUCCUAAAGGAACCGCUGCUGAUAUUCUUCUUAUUAAGGCAUAAUUUACAUAAAACAAAAUAGACAUAUUUAAGUUGACGCACAGAGUUAUUUCUUAAGUUCACAUGUCUUCCCGAAUACUCCAAGACUUGCAUGUGGCCAACCCUCCCCCUUGUACCACGAGAGGGAAAUAAAUAGGCAAUGGGAAGGCGAAGCAGUUAAAGGGGUUGCCAAGAAGCCCCUUCAAUUUGUCCCUAUCGAAUCCUUCCAAGACGACAAGGGAUCCUAAAGGGGAGUGGCUCUUCCUUCAUCCAUUUGGUUAACCUUAACACAAAGAAAGAAGAAAAAAGCCUCCAUAGCUGAGAGUUACCCCACCCACUCACCCUGCUACCCCUGUCCAGCAUCAAUGCUCUUAACCUCAUGCUAAGCCAAUUCCAACAUCCCACUAUUACCUAGCCUCACUUGAUGUUAAAAUUCUUUCCUUGCAUGACUCAGGGACCAUCCAUCCUUCACAUACACUUCCCUAGUUUUAAAAGCUGCUGAAAAAUAGAAUCUGGACAUCCAGUAAUCAGCCCCUUAAGUCCCCUCCCCCACCUAAAAGUGUUUUGCUUCAUCAUCUCCAAGACAGGCCUGGGCACUAGGGGGUUAGCUGGAUCUUUUCUGCCUAAGGCUGUCACCUUGGGGACCCUUCUCAGGGCCACCCCAGGUGCAGACUAACAACUCUAGGGAAUUUAUCAGGGUUAAGUGGAAAAGACACGUUUGCCUUUACGAGCAACCAUCUGUCCUGCCACACUCACAGCCAGCAUUUCCAUCUCUUGCAAAACAGCUCCAUGUUGCAUGGGGGGUGGGGGGAUUGUGAUGCAAAGGGGAAGAGAACAACUGUUGCUGUGGAUAUCGCUGCUCAUCACCCCGUGCAUCCCCCUCCCCCAGCCAACUCAUUUUUUGG